UACGUAGGGUGCGAGCGUUGUCCGGAAUUAUUGGGCGUAAAGAGCUUGUAGGCGGUUUGUCGCGUCUGCUGUGAAAAUCCGGGGCUCAACCCCGGACUUGCAGUGGGUACGGGCAGACUAGAGUGCAGUAGGGGAGACUGGAAUUCCUGGUGUAGCGGUGAAAUGCGCAGAUAUCAGGAGGAACACCGAUGGCGAAGGCGGCAUCCUGGACCAACACUGACACUGAGGAGCGAAAGCCAGGGGAGCAAACGGG
rnacentral:rRNA from 1 species